AACGAACGCUGGCGGUAUGCUUUACACAUGCAAGUCGAACGAACUGUUGGUAGCUUGCUAUCAACAGUUAGUGGCAAACGGGUGAGUAACGCGUGGGAAUCUGCCUAUAGUACGGAAUAGCCGUUGGAAACGACGAUUAAUACCGUAUAUCUUCCCAGGAAGAAAGACUUGUCGCUAUAGGAUGAGCCCACGUUAGAUUAGUUUGUUGGUAGGGUAAUGGGCCUACCAAGACUACGAUCUAUAGCUGGUUUGAGAGGAUGAUCAGCCACACUGGAACUGAGAUACGGUCCAGACUUCUACGGAAGGCAGCAGUGAGGAAUAUUGGACAAUGGGCAAAGCCUGAUCCAGCAAUACCGCGUGAGUGAUGAAGGCUUUAAGGGUUGUAAAACGUCUUUACAGUUAGGGAUGAUAAUGACGGUACCUACAGAAGAAGC
rnacentral:rRNA from 1 species